rnacentral:misc_RNA from 1 species
CUAUUGUUAUUAUUAUUAUUAUGUUUCAAUCACAUGUAUGGAAUUUAGAAUUAACAUCACUUUUCGAAUGUGUAGAGUAUUGGAAGCAAUCCCCGAAGACUCUUUAAUUUUAAUUAAAAAUUUUCUAUAUAAAAUAAAAGAAGAUUGAAUCAUUGAAUGGUUUGAAUGAUAAAAUAUACAUGAAUACUGCAGCGCAUGAAUC